CAGUAGCCACGGUAAUACGGAGGGUGCAAGCGUUAAUCGGAAUUACUGGGCGUAAAGCGCACGCAGGCGGUUUGUUAAGUCAGAUGUGAAAUCCCCGAGCUUAACUUGGGAACUGCAUUUGAAACUGGCAAGCUAGAGUCUUGUAGAGGGGGGUAGAAUUUCAGGUGUAGCGGUGAAAUGCGUAGAGAUCUGGAGGAAUACUGGUGGCGAAGGCGGCCCCCUGGACAAAGACUGACGCUCAGGUGCGAAAGCGAGGGGAGCAAACAGGAUUAGAUACCCCUGUAGUCCCUGUCUCUUAUAA
rnacentral:rRNA from 1 species